UUUCCUCUACUCCAGAUACGCUCCACACGAGCACCAGCUUCGCCCCUCCUGCCUUCGUUGGUUCUCUCUCUCUGAAAUCGGGGUCAAUGUCAGACAGCAACAAGUCAAUUCGGUGGGGAUAUUUACCCGAUGAGAUUCUUACCCAUAUUUUCACUUUCCUAACUUUAAAAUCCAUAAUCAUCUGUACCUCUGUCUCAAAAGCCUGGAAAUCCCUAAUCCAAAACCAAACUUUCAUUUCCACCCAUCUCCACCACUCCCUCAACAAAAACAACCUCAUCCUCUUAAGGCUCUCACGCAAUGACAGAAUAGUCUACACAUUGCAUAAAGAAGACGAUCCUGAUUUCACUGAAUACACCAGUUUUGAUUCCCCUUUCUUUGCUCCUGCUCCACACCUUCACAAUGUCGUCGGUACUUGUAACGGCUUGCUAUGCCUUUCCGAUGGUUUACCCAAUGACGCUGACGAAUUAUUUCUCUGGAACCCUUGUGUGAGAAAGCUUCUACAAUUCCCUAUUCCCAAUGUCACCUUCAAUACACAAUGUUGGAUCCACGCGUCUAUUGGGUUUGGAUUUGACCCAAAAACUAACGAUUAUAAAGUGGUCAGGAUUCUCUCCAUAUUGGGUAGUGUUUAUAACAUUGCAAGGGGUCGACCCGUGGUCCAUGUUUACUCACUCUUCGCUGGUGAAUGGAGAAUGCUUAGUGCUUCUGUUUCUCUGCCUCCUAUAUGCGCUAUAAUUAGUUCUGAGCCACCGGCAUUUGCCAAUGGGGCACUGCAUUGGAUUGCUUUCGGUAAAGAUAACAAACAGUUUGUUUUGGUGUUUGAUUUGGGGGACGAGGUCUUCCGCCAAAUUCUGCUGCCGGAACUUCCAAGUUAUAUGUGGACUCGUGUUUCCGUAUAUGGAAAUUCCAUUGCUGGGUUUCAAAGAAGGGUAGGGAGUGGUCCGAUCAAUAUAUGGGUGAUGAAAGAGUAUGGUGUUGCAUCCUCAUGGACAAAAUUUUCAUAUCAAUGUCCAAGUCUGGGAAUGCUCCGACCAUGCCCAGUUGGCUUUAGGAGGAAUGGUGAGGUUGUAUUGGAAGAUAAUAGAAUUGGUGAGGCUGUAUUGCUAAAUGAUAGAAGAGUGCUCAUCUCGUGGAAUCCAGAUAGCCAAAAUGUUAAGAAUCUUGAUAUUAAUGGAUCUCAUAAGACUUUUUUUGGUUCUUAUGUCGAGAGUCUAGUUUUGCUCGACAAAGCCACCAAAGGUGUAGUUACAUACUGAGGAAAAACAGAAAAUCGUUCUUAAAUUCUUGCAGGACCUCAUACAAUCAUGGUUGGUGAUGAGUUCUAAAUGACUAACAGACAUUAAUUCCGCAGAAGAAAAGAUUCAACAAAACUCUUUGAUUGUAACUUAUUCGAAACAUUGAAUUAAAGACCAGAUCCUAUGCACAUGAAAGGAAGACAGAUUCACAAGGUUUUCUUUUGGGACUAUACAUCAGUACAGUUCCUUAGAAACAGGGGAGAGGCCCCCAACUUAGUGAGUUCAAAGGAGAGCUGCUGAUAGUGUGAAGAAAACACCUCUCUUUUUGUUGUGGGCCAAGUCUUAAGUUUGUAAUAUGGCUUAUUUUCCUCUUCCCAGCACAGUUUGUCAAUGAAGUUUUGAGAAAUGGACUAAUUUUGCAGUGGAACUGUUUUUGGGAUUACAGCAGGAACUAUAUUCAUGGUUUACAGUGGCCCUGAUUUUGUUAUUGCAUACCUUUCCAUAGCCUAUCUCAUCAUCUCUAGGGAAGAGGAGCUCCAUGAGAGGAAGGCCUCAACAAAACCAAGAUUUCGCUUGUGGACUUUCCUUGUUCUUGUAUAGUUGACCUCAUGCAAUCAUGGUUAUUGAUGAGCUCUAAAUGAGACAUUAAUUCAGCAAAACAAAAUAUUCAACAAAGCUCUUUGAUGUUGUAUAGUUUCUUAUAACUGAAUUAACUUGUUAUGUCAAAACGGCUUGAAGUAGUAUUAUGUUAAACUCCUUUUGUGGCUACACCAUUGUUAUAUUAGUAUUUUUUGACGAUUCGCAGUUUAGUUUCACAGUUUUGUUUCAGUGUAUUCACUGAAAUGAUUAAGUAUGUAAUUUUGCCUGCCAUGCUUGCAUUACGAUCAAGAUGCUUGCCAUUGUAGUGUGUGUAAACGUGGAUAUACUGCUCAGUUGUGUUAAAUGUCUUUUUCCUCAGACAACUAGAUUUUUGUUGUACUUGU